CCACAGAGUAGAUGGCGAGGAGGCUCUGCUUCCUGUCACUCCAGGACUGCAGGAGGAGAUGAUGAGGAUCGACAACGUCCUGCCUGUUUUCAGGGUCUCCCCCUGUAGCCUCCUGGUCCUGGCUUAUCGACAAGCAGCACCCCCCAGAACCACACUGCACUGAUCCCCAAAACAUGCAGGAGGACAGCCUAUCGGAAGUUCUCUUUAAAGAGCUCCCGCCCUUCAGACUGAUGCUCCAUCUCCGCCCGCAAGAGGAGGUCCACGAUAACAGUGGACUACAAAGAGCUGUCGCUGCAUGCGAAACUGAGGCGUGGAGACAAGUUCACAGACACCAAGUUCCUCCGCUCUCCCAUCUUCAAACAGAAACCCAGGAAGUCCAUGAAGACCCAGCCGUCGUCACUGGAGAAAUACAAUUAGUCUUUUGUGGGAUGUCGCUAACAUGUGCUUUGUGUCCACACAUUGAACACGUUUUACCCAUUUAAAUGUGUUUGAGAGUUAGUGUGGCACCUGUGUUUGUGGUACAUUAUUUUAAUAGUUUAUAUCCAAUAAAAUAAUGGAAGGCAGCUUUAAUUGUGGUUCAUUUCUUAGUUGAUUCUUUGUUCUUAUCAGUAGGCUGAAUUUAGCCAAAUCAUCAGGGGCAUUAGAGAUGUUCAAGUAUAUCUCCCCAAAAUCUAUAUUCUCUCCAUGUCCCCGUUUCGUGAUGCCUGUAUUGAUUGUUAGCCACCUGUAGAGGGCGAUGUUAGAACAGCAUUCUGCCGGACGACAGGUUCCUCAUGUACUGUAUGGUUGUGUUCAGUCAGUUCACUGUUGUUCAUAUAUGUUUAGCUUGCAUUUUCUAGAACUUUGAAUAUUAAUUUGCCACAUGCCGCUGUUUUCAUAUGUAAGAUGUUUUGGUUUUAUGA